UUUCCCAACUGUCGCUUCUCU
rnacentral:piRNA from 1 species